rnacentral:rRNA from 1 species
AAUGAACGUUGGCGGCAUGGAUUAGGCAUGCAAGUCGAGCGAGAAGUGUAGCAAUACACGGAAAGCGGCGGAAGGGAGAGUAAUACGUGGGAAUCUGCCCUUAGACCUGGGAUAGCAGCGGGAAACUGCUGGUAAUACCAGAUAAUGUCUAUGGACCAAAGGUGUGAUUCCGUCUAGGGAUGAGCCCACGUCCUAUUAGCUAGUUGGUAGGGUAAUGGCCUACCAAGGGGAUGAUGGGUAGCGGGUGUGAGAGCAUGACCCGCCUCACUGGGACUGAGACACUGCCCAGACACCGACGGGUGGCUGCAGUCGAGAAUCGUCGGGAAUGGGCGCAAGCCUGACCGAGCGAUGGCGCGUGCGGGAUGAAGGCCGUCGGGUUGUAAACCGCUGUCGAGGGGGAGCAACUUCCAUAGAGUUAUCUUUAUGGAUUGAGUGAUCCCUGGAGGAAGGACGGGCUAAGUUCGUGCCAGCAGCCGCGGUAACAC